CUGACAGGACUGGAGGGAGCUGCUGCCAACUAGCACACCUCCCAAGAAGUCGGUUGGCAGUCCACUCCUAGAUAAGCAACCAGUACAGCAGCAGCAAAUCUAGACACACUUCUCAGAGUCCACACCUUUUUGCAAGUGGAAAUUUACAAGCGAGCUGUUGCUGUUGAGAUGGCAGAUCUUAGGCACUACACUAAAAUCCUUGAUCUACCAGUAACCACCAAAGGUGACAAGUCAUAUCAAGGACAUUGGUACCAGAGAGAAGGCUGGGCAUCAUCAACAAACUAAGGGGUGAGGGGGACAACCAGACUAGUUCUGCUGAAAAAACUGCAUUACAUACGUUCUGAUAACUGUGUUUCCUAAGUACUUGGAAUGUUAAUGAACAUUCCAUGCUAUCUUACUUGUUAAGCCAGAGACUUCACUACUACAAGCAAAAAAAUUGACAGAGAUGGAUGAUGGACAGUUUGACCCUAUUAGUGAGAACUCAGACAAAUUACAAACAAACAAAAGUUACAGUACAUAUCAGAAAAUCAAAUAAAUGUAAAUUAUGUUAUCUGGGGAUUCUUCAGAUAUUUUAGAUGUCAGUGGGAAAUGUCAGAAAAUUCUUAUUGGUAGUUAAUACUAAGCAAGUGCUUUUGGUAAAUUAUCAAAUCCUGUGACUGUGCCACUUUUUACUUUUACUGGUACAUCUCAAGAACCACCAAGUACCUUCAGUAAACAUUUUACUCUUUUUACUUGUCAGGUGCUGAGGUCUAAGAGCCUGCAAGUACCUUGAGCAGGCAAGCUAAAGACAGUAUCAUGGUUGAACAGGUCAAGAGCCUUGUGUCUUCUUCUGCAACAUUACCCAAAUUAAGAGCAAAUAGAAGAUCUGGGAGCUUUAUAUCAGAAAAUGGCACUAGAUUGGCCUUCUGAUGUCACCUGACUCCUUUGGCCAAGAGGAAUCUGGGUAGUGGCUGUACAAGUUUACUAGCUAGAACUGCCUGUAGUUCUCCACUCAUGGCAUUGGAGGUAUACGGAGUGAGUAUCUGAUCUGCAGAGUUCCUAGUCUGAUGCUAUGUUGCCUGGCAGAAUCCUGGCAUUUACCAAGUUAGGCAUGCACUUAGUUGGCCUUGAAAGUUUACAGGUAAAUGUCAGCAUUUUCUAAACUUUCCAAUGGUUUCUUAAGCAUGUUGAGAUUUACUGGUAAAUGUCAACACUUAUUAAAUUGCUGACAUCCAGUGUAACAAGUACAUUGACACAAACCAGAUUUGCUCCUAGGGAAAAGAACCGUGUACUUCAGAAGUUCCACAACUCUGUGUGUUUCUGCCAGUUCUUAAACACUAGCAGUAUGAGUAAUGUAUGAGUACAGUAUGUGUAGAGUAUGAGUAAUGUACUUGCUAUCUUCAUACAUUCAUGUGUUUUGUGUGCCUCUCUCCACCCAACCCAUCCUGUCUCUGGCAUUUUGACAUAAAACAAGACUAUAAUCAGAACAAAAGCAAUCAAGUGAAAGCAUCUAUUCUGUGUUGAAUAUUUGUAAUGUUCUUUUUGUUUCAUAUUUCUUCUUUUGUCUGUUCUAAAAAACACACUUGAGAGGAUAGUAAUCUUUACAAAAUAGAUCUUUGUUAAUAGAUUUUCAAAUGUGUACACUUGACUUACAUAAAACAUAAGAAAAAAGUGAAGCAGUAUCGUAAUAAGGCCCAAGCAAAACAAAACAACCCAGAAAAGAAAAGAACAACCUCCUGUGGCCUAUUGCAACCAGUUCUUUGUUUCCUAAAACUUUACUAAAUAAAAAGAUGAAAAAACAAAUGGGUGGGGAAUGCUUUGAGAAAUGAAGUUUCAGGAGAAUUGUAUCUUCCCUACAAGGAGACUAUCUGGGGUGCCAUUUGGAAAGGACGGGGCAGGGGAGCAGUCCCCAUAUGUUUCAUACUAUGUUUAAUUAAUCUUCUGAAGCAUUUGUAUCUCUGGCCAGCUCACUGGUUCUACAAAUCGAGUGGCUAUUGUUAUAAACAAUUCAAUGGACCUGUGUACUAGAUCUGCAUGACAAAAGUA